AGAAUCAACGCUGGCGGCGUGCAUAACACAUGCAAGUCGCACGAGAAAGGGUAGCAAUACCUGAGUACAGUGGCGCACGGGUGAGUAACACGUGAAUAAUCUACCUCCGAGUGGGGAAUAACUGAGAGAAAUCUUAGCUAAUACCGCAUAACACUUACGAGUCAAAGCAGCAAUUCGCUUGAAGAGGGGUCGCGGCUGAUUAGUUAGUUGGCGGGGUAAUGGCCCACCAAAACAAUGAUCGGUA
rnacentral:rRNA from 1 species